UAGUGCGUAUAGUGGUGUAUAAUUGUGACUCCAAGGUGGACGGUCUAUCGAAAAAAUUCAAAUCGGAUGUGCGUGGUGUCCCACUGUUUACUCGACCUACCGAUCGUUCAGAGUGGUAGAUUAAAAAAAUCGUGCUAGUAACAGGAAGAAUCGCAAAUCGAGAUCGCACGAUAUGCAAUCGAACAUCAUCGAUCAACGUCGAAUCGUGUCGGAGUCGCAUGAUUCUCUCGAACCGAUGUUCGCCUUCGGACAGUAAACAAAAGUGACAGCGUGCGGAUGCCGUUCGGUCAUGCCUCCCGUCUCGUCCGUGUUUGCCGACAGUAUUUGACGUCUUGUUCUUCUGCGAGCUCGAAUUCCCUCACGUGGUUCAAGGUCUUCUAAAAUCAACUUAACGUCACGUUGCCAACAGACCCAGUGAGUUUCAUGCCACUUUCGCGAUCGAAUGUAUUAUCUCGAGUGUGUUGUCACUGACAGCAACACUGAGCGCGCUUUUCCCGGUUUUCGUUUAUGUGUUCUCGUGUAUUCUCCAAGGACUUGUCCCAGAAUUUUUGACACGAAGGACGUAAUAUCUUCAUAGAGCAUAAAAAGGAAAUCACUGGAUACGUCAAUAUUAGUUUUGCAGAGAAAUCUCCUUCCGUAUUUCGAGAACGCUCGAAGAGGAGAAGAGAGAUGUGCCAACAACUUCCGUCGUUGCGGAUGUUCCACGUGCUCCUCGAGUUCAUCGACGCCUUGUCGCACUGCGUCCCGUGCUAGGACCAUGUCCUAGUGAUACAUUUGACGCGUGACCCACCCACUGCCAAAACAGAGACUCCGCGUGUACGAAAACAGCUCAAACAUUAAAAUUCUUAAAUGUGAUCCCUCGU